AGUGCUCCCCUUCUUUCAUGACCUUUCAUGGCUACUCUUAUUCUUGGUAGGCAGCUGCUUUAUAUAGUUAAACCUUGCAAGAGUGAAGCAACACAUUUGUAUUGCCUACGGAAGUGCAUUCUUCAUGGACACGCAUGCAUGGAUUCAUGGAUGUGCAUGGUUGCACAUCACCCACUGUAAUGCAGGUUUUCAAGCACAUUUGGUGACACAACAUCCGUUUCACCAAUGAGUUGGGUUAUCUAACUACCAUGUCACUCCAUCAGCGUAAAGGUUUGCUCCGUCUUCUUCACGUAGGGCUCUAGGCCCCAGAUAUCGACAUGGAACCUCAUGAGGAAUUUAUGGAAUCAUCCUCUUCGUAACUCCCCCAGAGACAUGCAAUUUAGAACACUGCUAUCAUUCACGCUUAUGCAAUUUGCUGAUUUUUUCCUCAGUAUAGUUGUUGGCAUUGUUUUUUUUUUUUUUUACAAAACCCAAAGUCUAUUUUUAAGAUGCUUAUUUUAAGACCAAGUAAGUUUAGAGUUGAAGGGGGAAAUUUGCAUUCUCUUGAAAAAACCUUGCAUAUGCAUUGAAAUCUGUGUUUGCAGACAUCUCUCUGCGGCGUCUCCUUGUACAGCCGCAACCAUGGGAUAAACAAAUCAGAAAUUGAUACGGAUUGGAAAGAGGCCGAUCAGUCCACUUCCAAUAUGGUAGAAACAGGAGGGGGAGGGAAAGUACUGUAUAUACUCAAGUAUAAGCCUAGUUUUUCAGCCCUUUUUUUAAGACUGAAAAAGCCCCCCUCGGCUUAUACUCGGGUUAGGUUCCUGGUUGGCUUAUAUUUGGGUCAUCUUAUACUCGAGUAUUUAUUUAUUUAUUUAUUUACAGUAUUUAUAUUUCGCCAUUCUCACCCCAAAGGGGACUCAGGGCGGAUCACAUUACACAUACAAGGCAAACAUUCAAUGCCAAACAUAGAACAAAGACAGAGACAAACACAGGCUCCGAGCUGGCCUCGAACUCAUGACCUCUUGGUCAGAGUGAUUUGUUUCAGCUGGCUGCAGCCGGCUGCUCACCAGCCUGCAUCACAGCCCGGGCUGUGGUACAUUUAUUAUUUUUCUCUAUUAUUAUUGGUAUUACUACAUUUAUUAUUUUUCUCUAUUAUUGUUGCUACUAUUACAUUUAUUUUACUUUAUUUUUUAUUAUUAAUAAUACAUUUAUUAUUUCACUCUGAGAUUAUUAUUAUUAUUGCAUUUAUUAUUUUACUCUAUUUAUUAUUACUUGUAUUAUUUUCCUGUAUUUAUUAUUAUUAUUAUUACAUGUACAGUAGAGUCUCACUUAUCCAACGUUCUGGAUUAUCCAACACAUUUUUGUAGUCAAUGUUUUCAAUACAUCGUGAUAUUUUGGUGCUAAAUUAAUAAAUACAGUAAUUACAACAUAAUAUUUCUGCGUAUUGAAUUACUUUUUCUGUCAAAUUUGUUG
rnacentral:lncRNA from 1 species